GGGCGUAUAGCUCAGUUGGUAAGAGCGCGUCUCUGAUAAAGACGAGGUCUGUGGUUCGAGUCCACAUACGCCCA
rnacentral:tRNA from 1 species